rnacentral:rRNA from 1 species
UAUUUUCCUUUUUUGCCAGCAGCCGCGGUAAUACGGAAGGUCCGGGCGUUAUCCGGAUUUAUUGGGUUUAAAGGGAGCGUAGGCCGGAGAUUAAGCGUGUUGUGAAAUGUAGACGCUCAACAUCUGCACUGCAGCGCGAACUGGUUUCCUUGAGUACGCAUAAAGUGGGCGGAAUUCGUGGUGUAGCGGUGAAAUGCUUAGAUAUCACGAAGAACUCCGAUUGCGAAGGCAGCUCACUGGGGCGCAACUGACGCUGAAGCUCGAAAGCGCGGGUAUCGAACAGG